GUUAAUUGCUGCCCAUAGCAUUUUUUUAGUCUACCUCAAUUAAAAUAAACAAUUGAUAUGGGAAUAGAAAGGUAUGGAAUAGUGAUGACAAAUGUACCUGCAUUAGCGAAGUCUUGAUUUGUAUUUGAUUGUAUUAGCAUAAGUUAACAGAUCUCUGGAACCUGUUGAUGUUCUUUGAAUCAAGAUAUAAGAUAGAUUUUUUUUUAAUUUUUUUUUUCCCCUAGUACUAGAGCUUUGUGUUGUCUCUGCUUCAGGUGGACUGUGACAAGAACUACUGAACUAUAAUAACUUCAGGAGAAGAAAGACAGCAACUACUGUUCUACAUGUUCAAGUUGAAAGACAAUUCUGGUCAGAAGCUUGAAAUCACAGAUCCCAGCGUCACAAUGAGGGGAGAAGAGAGGCUCAGCCUGUCGACUGAUCCCAGAAGUCAGGAGGUCAUUGUGAUGAUGGUAUUUCCUCUGACGAUGGUAACUUCCCUCACAUUCCCUCUCUUAGGCCCAUUGAUAUUAUUUUCUAUCUUUUAGGUGGAGCUUGAGUGACUCUAGUCAAGCAUAUCUUAGUUACGACUGAUUUCCUAGUCACUCUAUGCAAUUACACCACAGUAUUUCACGUGGUUACUUUUUUUUUUUUUUUUUCCCCAGAAAAUGUCCUUCUCAGGCAUACUUAUCUGUUUUUGAAAUGUAAGUUGUGUGGAGCUGUUUGUGAAUUUGCAAUAUGCUCUGUAUUAUGAGGAAUGCCAUUCAGUGAGACCUGGACCAGCUGGAGA
rnacentral:lncRNA from 1 species